UCAAAUUUGAUCGCCUUCCAUACUUCACAAGCUGCGGCUAGUUCAGGACUCCAUUUGCAAGUUGCUCAGAUAAUUUCAUUACCUUCGCGAGCAAGAUCGCGCCCUUCGUUACGAGCUUGUACACAGGCUUCUAAAGCCACUCGAUUAGCUAUUGGAAACUAUCUUCAAAUGUGA
rnacentral:rRNA from 1 species